UUCAUCGGAGCAUUCAAGUGUUACCUAUUAUAAGCUGCCAAAAGACCAAGCAGUGCGAAGCUCUUGGCUGACAGUGGUGCCUGCUAAUUUCCACUGCAAGGAUUUCGUCCACGAAUGUUAUCAUAGGUUACGCGCGACUCCAGAGGCAAUUUGGAAUCUCGGCACGAAAUCGUCUGAUGAAAAUCUGAGGUGCCCGAUGCAUAACAUUUUGAACGUGCCAUGGAGGAUCAAGGCAAAAAACGAGAGCAAAAAAAUGGUGCACGCUGAAGGCGGAAAUGAAGCAUGAUCUGGCUUGCAUCUGGUCAUGAAGAAAUUGCUGACACGUUAGUUGCAGUCCACCUCCACCAACAGGGUGGAAAACAAAGGUCGCCAUUCCGAUUAGCUGCAAUCUCCCAGUUCAAGCACUUUUGUGUCUGGACACUGGUUCCUGUGGAUGGGGUGUUACAAGCUUCACUGUCUGAU